rnacentral:misc_RNA from 1 species
GUGAAUCAUCAAAUCUUUGAACGCAAAUUGCACUCUCUGGUAUUCCGGAGGGUAUGCCUGUUUGAGGGUCAGUUUAAAUAAAAAUCGGUGUGGUUGCUGCCUUUCGUGGUGACGCACCGGAUUUGGGUCGUCUUGCCUUCGGUUAAGUGACCUAAAAUUUUGCAUGAUUUUUUUUCGAACGUAUUUAAAUGAUUUUACGUAGGUUGGCGAUAUAGAUUCUAAGGUGUGGUUAUCCU